AUCUUGCUGGAGAUCCUUGCUUACCUGUGGCCUUCUGAAGCUGAUUUUAAAUUUCACGACAAAUCCAUAUAAUGAAGCUGCUAAUUCUGAAAGCUGAAGCAUUCACACUGAGAACACCGUUGGAAAUACAAGAGUGACGUUUUACUGAGGGAAAAGAAUCCAGGUGCUGCACAGAAAACCUUUCAGGACCUACAGGCGAAGGCUCUCACCUGGAUUACCCUUUCUGUGCUACAGGCAAACAAGGAUCAACAUCCAUGGAAGCACAGACAGGCUGCAAAAUGGUCCUUCUGAUGCACCACGCUGAGCCCUCCCACACGUUAGGACUGACAUGUACUACUCCAUUUCAGCAAAAUAAAUAAAUAAAAAUAAAAAUCCAAGUGGCAUUUGGAAAACAGUAUUUUCACUCCUCGGAGCCAGUGCUCCAGGCACCUCAGAUUAUGUACUGCUGGCAGCUCGUGCUCAGGAGGACAUCCCCCAGGCUGUUUGACCUGUCCUGAAAUGCAUGAACCUCUGUCCAGAGACCCCGAGCUCUAACCUUUAUUCCCAAGCCUUACGCAGG
ensembl:lncRNA